AACGAACGCUGGCGGCAGGCCUAACACAUGCAAGUCGAACGAGUAAGAGCCGUAGCAAUACGGAGUUCUGCUAGUGGCGCACGGGUGAGUAACGCGUGGGAACGUGCCUUGGAGUUCGGGAUAACAGUUGGAAACGACUGCUAAUACCGAAUAUUCCCUCAGGGGGAAAGAUUUAUCGCUCCAAGAUCGGCCCGCGUAAGAUUAGGUAGUUGGUGGGGUAAUGGCCUACCAAGCCUACGAUCUUUAGCUGGUCUGAGAGGACGACCAGCCACACUGGAACUGAGACACGGUCCAGACUCCUACGGGAGGCAGCAGUGGGGAAUAUUGGACAAUGGGCGAAAGCCUGAUCCAGCCAUGCCGCGUGAAUGAUGAAGGCCUUAGGGUUGUAAAAUUCUUUUUGCAGGGGAAGAUAAUGACGGUACCCUGCGAAUAAGCUCCGGCUAACUUCGUGCCAGCAGCCGCGGUAAU
rnacentral:rRNA from 1 species